ensembl:lncRNA
UAUGCAAAUGUUUCGAAGACGACAGCGUGGUUACAGAAGAGAUCUUUUUUUUUUUUAAGCCAGCUGAGCGUGAUGAAACAGGUGAAGUCUCUCAGGAGACCGGGAGCGUGACGUGACAGAGAGUGAGAGCUAUAAAGCAGGGGUGGUGAAGGCUGUAACACGGAUGCUCGUCUUCAGCAGGACCGACCUCAGAGCAGCAUGCGCUAAAUUAUAAAGUGAUGAAUAGCGUGUGAGCAUGAGGACCAUGAGGACCAUGAGGACCAUGAGGACCAUGAGGAGCUGCGUGUUACACUUACUGUUCCUGCUGCUGCUCUCCUGCAAAACCAGCUUCAGCAGCUUCACUGUCCAGGACAGUUCAGGACGAGAGAUGAGGCAGUAUAAUGAAGUGGAAGACGACAGUUUCAUUGGUCUGAUGGGUAAAAGGAGUUCCGAUCUGACUGCAGAGCUGCCACGGAGACGAGACGUCAGCGACGUGUUUGUCGGUCUGUUCGGGCGCAGAGAUGUCGACUCGGGUGAGUCGGAUAUCGCUAAAGGCCUCGCUGCGUGGAGACGAGAGAGACGGGGCGGAGUCUUCUCAAACAACCGAAGACUCAGAUAUCGUCGUCCCACCUGAAGCGCCGCCUUAACGACGACGUGGAAUUCGAGAGCGACGGUUCUGAUCUCUCCGCCUGGAGUUUACGUUUUUUAUUUUUCACGUGAAGAUUUAAAUGGAGUUUAUUUUACAUCUGAUUUUUCUUCUGAAGGUUUUUUUUUUUUUUUUU